rnacentral:rRNA from 1 species
UUCUUUAUGAUUAUUUAUAAAGUAAUUUCUGCCCAAUGAAAAAUUUCAAUGGCUGCAGUAUAUUGACUGUACAAAGGUAGCAUAAUAAUUAGUUCCUUAAUUAGGUUCUUGUAUGAAAGGAUAAAUGCGGGAUUUACUUUAUUAAUUUUACUAUAUGAAUUUUAUUUUUUGGUUAAAAAGCUAAACUAUUUUUUAGGGACGAUAAGACCCUAUAGAACUUUAAAUUAUUUUUAAUAUAAUUUAGUUUAGAUUAUUAAUAUUUAAAAUUAGAUUUAAUUUUUAUUUGGGGUGAAUAGUAAAUUUAAUUGGCUUUUCUUAUAAGUUUCAUUAAUUUAUGUUUAUUUGAUCCUAAUUAGAUUAUAAGAUAAGUUACCUUAGGGAUAACAGCGUAAUUUUAAUGGAAAGUUCUUAUUUAAAUUAGAGUUUGCGACCUCGAUGUUGAAUUAAGAUAAAUUUAGGGUGUAGAGGCUUUAUAAUUAAGUCUGUUCGACUUUUAAAUUCUUACA